rnacentral:rRNA from 1 species
GAUGAACGCUGGCGGCGUGCCUAAUACAUGCAAGUCGAGCGAACAGACGAGGAGCUUGCUCCUCUGACGUUAGCGGCGGACGGGUGAGUAACACGUGGAUAACCUACCUAUAAGACUGGGAUAACUUCGGGGAACCGGAGCUAAUACCGGAUAAUAUAUUGAACCGCAUGGUUCAAUAGUGAAAGACGGUUUUGCUGUCACUUAUAGAUGGAUCCGCGCCGCAUUAGCUAGUUGGUAAGGUAACGGCUUACCAAGGCAACGAUGCGUAGCCGACCUGAGAGGGUGAUCGGCCACACUGGAACUGAGACACGGUCCAGACUCCUACGGGAGGCAGCAGUAGGGAAUCUUCCGCAAUGGGCGAAAGCCUGACGGAGCAACGCCGCGUGAGUGAUGAAGGUCUUCGGAUCGUAAAACUCUGUUAUUAGGGAAGAACAAAUGUGUAAGUAACUAUGCACGUCUUGACGGUACCUAAUCAGAAAGCCACGGCUAACUACGUG